CUUUUAGUUUGAUCCCUGGCUCCAGGAUGAACGCUGGCGGGGGAUGCCUAAUACAUGCAAGUCGAGCGAAUGGAUUAAGAGCUUGCUCUUAUGAAGUUAGCGGCGGACGGGUGAGUAACACGUGGGUAACCUGCCCAUAAGACUGGGAUAACUCCGGGAAACCGGGGCUAAUCCCGGAUAACAUUUUGAACCGCAUGGUUCGAAAUUGAAAGGCGGCUUCGGCUGUCACUUAUGGAUGGACCCGCGUCGCAUUAGCUAGUUGGUGAGGUAACGGCUCACCAAGGCAACGAUGCGUAGCCGACCUGAGAGGGUGAUCGGCCACACUGGGACUGAGACACGGCCCAGACUCCUACGGGAGGCAGCAGUAGGGAAUCUUCCGCAAUGGACGAAAGUCUGACGGAGCAACGCCGCGUGAGUGAUGAAGGCUUUCGGGUCGUAAAACUCUGUUGUUAGGGAAGAACAAGUGCUAGUUGAAUAAGCUGGCACCUUGACGGUACCUAACCAGAAAGCCACGGCUAACUACGUGCCAGCAGCCGCGGUAAUACGUAGGUGGCAAGCGUUAUCCGGAAUUAUUGGGCGUAAAGCGCGCGCAGGUGGUUUCUUAAGUCUGAUGUGAAAGCCCACGGCUCAACCGUGGAGGGUCAUUGGAAACUGGGAGACUUGAGUGCAGAAGAGGAAAGUGGAAUUCCAUGUGUAGCGGUGAAAUGCGUAGAGAUAUGGAGGAACACCAGUGGCGAAGGCGACUUUCUGGUCUGUAACCUGACAACUGAGGCGCCAAAAGAAUAUCGUGGGGAGCAAACAGGAUUAGAACCCCUGGGUAAAAAAA
rnacentral:rRNA from 1 species